UCCAAGGCUAAAUACUCCUGACUGACCGAUAGUGAACCAGUACCGUGAGGGAAAGGCGAAAAGAACCCCGGCGAGGGGAGUGAAAAAGAACCUGAAACCGUGUACGUACAAGCAGUGGGAGCACCUUCGUGGUGUGACUGCGUACCUUUUGUAUAAUGGGUCAGCGACUUAUAUUCUGUAGCAAGGUUAACCGUAUAGGGGAGCCGAAGGGAAACCGAGUCUUAACUGGGCGUUAAGUUGCAGGGUAUAGACCCG
rnacentral:rRNA from 1 species